rnacentral:tRNA from 1 species
CAAGACGUAGCUUAAACAAAAGCAUUCAGCUUACACCUGAAAGAUAUCUGCUAACCCCAGAUCGUCUUGA